GAUGGAAGAUGAUCGAGCCUUUUAAUGAGGUUAGGAAAGUCCAUGCUAGCACAUUCUGAGAUGAAUGUAGUGUUUGUGCCUAAGGAAACAAUAACUUAGGGCACCUAGGUGACGACAUCCAAAAGCCUUCUUAAUGAUGGACUAGGAUAUAAAGUGCCACAGAGACGAGUGUUAUCGAAAGAUAACAGUGAAACGCGGUAAACUCCGCAAGCUAGCAACCCAAAUUAUGGUAGGGGCACGAGAAGAAGCGAAAUGAAGCUAUCUUCUUGCUACUAAUGUAGAGAUAAAUGAUCAUACUCAAAUUUAUUUGAGAACAGAACAUGGCUUAUGCAC
rnacentral:RNase_P_RNA from 1 species